GAUGAACGCUGGCGGUAUGCUUAACACAUGCAAGUCGAACGGACUCUUCGGAGUUAGUGGCGGACGGGUGGGUAACGCGUGAGAAUCUGGCUUUGGGUUCGGGACAACCACUGGAAACGGUGGCUAAUACCGGAUGUGCCGAGAGGUAAAAGAGAAAUUGCCUGAAGAUGAGCUCGGGUCUGAUUAGCGAGUUGGUGAGGUAAAGGCUCACCAAGGCAGCGAUCAGUAGCUGGUCUGAGAGGAUGACCAGCCACACUGGGACUGAGACACGGCCCAGACUCCUGCGGGAGGCAGCAGGGGAGUAUUGUCCGAAAGGGGCGAAAGUCUGACGGAGCAAUACCGCGUGAGAGAAGAAGGCUCUUGGGUUGUAAACCUCUUGUCUUAGGGAAGAACAAAAUGACGGUACCUAAGGAAUCAGCAUCGGCUAACUCCGUG
rnacentral:rRNA from 1 species